rnacentral:lncRNA from 1 species
CAACCCAUCUACUGUUUUCCAGUGAGGAAGCAAACCCCAGCUGUCUGAAGCCUUCUCCCUGCUCUGGCCCAGCUCUCCUUCUCUCCCCAUCACUGGUACACUGACAGCAGCAGGGAAUUGAUGUCUAGUUCAGGACAUCAGGUAGAACAGAGUUUAUUCCUGCCUUCGGUGUCCUUGCUGGACCAGGGGUCUUGGCUAGACCCUCUGUUCUGAAGAGGGUUCCCUCAUGAAGUUCCUGCUUGAGUGAGGGAUGUGUUUCUUGGCCAUCCCAAUUGCUUCCAGUCCCAGCUGAAAGCACCGCCUCCUUCCAUCUCCUCAACUUAGGAACCCCAUCUCUAGCAAAGCAUCAUCAUUGCUCAAAGUUUGGGAUGGUACUCUGUGGAGCCACAGCCACUGCAGGCAGCCAGGUGACAAAAAACUAGCAGAGUGGUAGCACAGCUUGCGAGGCUUGGUGUUGCCUUUGGGGUGUAGCCAUCCCCUGCAGCAGCUCUGCUCUUUGCUACCAGCCACGUGGCCUCUGCCACUGCUCCUAGGCGUGUUGAUAGGGGCUGUGCAGGAGAAGCACGCUCCGGCUAGCGGUACUGACUGGCCGGCAGGGAUGUAGCAGCCAGCUGCAGGACAGAAGGGUGUCAGGAAGGGUGCCAGGCUGCGCCAGCACCUCGGGGAGCAAUGGGCCGCUUGGAUGACCAUGCCAAGAAGAGGAUCGUGGAGUUGCGCAAAGCUGGGCUGAGCUUUCGCAAGAUCAAGAAAGUUUUAGAGCUGGACAACAUUCGGGUGACCCCCCAGGCGGUGUACCUCUUCCUCAAGCGGAAGAAUGUGGAGCCCUCCCAGGCGACAGGAGCCGCGCUGCCCCAGCCAACAGGUGACAGGGCGCAGCACAAGGCAGGUGCCGGCCAGGCAGGCUGGGAGGAUGAGCAGCUCUGGACCAUGCUCCAAGAAAAUGAGCCCGAGCAGAAUGAGCAGGAAGCGGUGGGUCCCAAGCUCCCUGUGCUGCCCAGUGGAGGGGCCGCAGGCAGCGAAGGGCCCUGCCUCAGCGACGGCCGAGACAGCAAGGAAGGCAUCAAGAUUGUCAGUGUGACCUCGCUCUGCAAGGAUGGCAGGCAGUUUGGGAAGCCUGUGCCCACGGGACUGCCUUCCGGGACCCAAGUGGCCCCUAGGAACAGUGAUGACUGCUCUGUGAACCGAUCGAGUACUCUGGGGAGCUGCCCGGCUCUCCUGCCCCCAGCCGUCCCCCAGCAGCCACUGCCCAAUCGAGGGAGGCUCUUUGUGCCCCCUGCCAGGAACCCAGCCCUGAUUGUAAAGAAGAAGAUUGUGGAUAGGGCUAUUCUCCUCCAGAAAAAGGUCAACAUUCAGAAUGGGCAGAGUCUGUCUGGCUCCACGACUGUCCUGCCUUUCCUGGUGGGAGUGCAGCCGGCCAGCCAGCCCCUGCAGGCAAACCCAGCUGUCCUGACCACUGCAGUGAGCCACAGUGCAAAUGUCAAAGAUGCCAGCACUCAGACUGCCCUGCUGAAUAUUGCAGGUCCUGGAAAUCAGAGCCUUGCAUGGGGGGGGCCAAUGCUUCCCCCUGCUCCCAGCUCCCAUGCCGUUGCUGAAAAGUUGGAUGCUGUACACACAGAGAUCCAGAAACUGAGUCAGGCGAUGCAUGCGGUCCUGGAGAGGCAAUGCUGCCUAGAGCGCCAGCAGGAGCAUCAGCAGCGACUCCAGCAGGAGGUGUUGAUGACGCUGCAGCAGCUCAGCUCCACAGUGAGCCAUGGGACUGUGCCAGGAAACCAGCCCUGUGUCCCCUUCAGCAGCAUGGCUGAGCCCUCGCCCACUGUGCCAAACUUCAGCCAGUUCAAGAUGGAACUAAUUUGA